rnacentral:rRNA from 1 species
CAGUCGCCACGGUAAUACGAAGGGGGCUAGCGUUGCUCGGAAUUACUGGGCGUAAAGGGCGCGUAGGCGGACAGUUCAGUCGGGGGUGAAAGCCCGGGGCUCAACCUCGGAAUUGCCUUCGAUACUGGCUGUCUUGAGUAUGAGAGAGGUGUGUGGAACUCCGAGUGUAGAGGUGAAAUUCGUAGAUAUUCGGAAGAACACCAGUGGCGAAGGCGACACACUGGCUCAUUACUGACGCUGAGGCGCGAAAGCGUGGGGAGCAAACAGGAUUAGAUACCCCAGUAGUCCCUGUCUCUUAUAC